rnacentral:rRNA from 1 species
ACGUACACUCCUGCGGGAGGCAGCAGUGGGGAAUAUUGGACAAUGGGCGCAAGCCUGGUCCAGCCAUGCCGCGUGAGUGAUGAAGGCCCUAGGGUUGUAAAGCUCUUUCACCGGUGAAGAUAAUGACGGUAACCGGAGAAGAAGCCCCGGCUAACUUCGUGCCAGCAGCCGCGGUAAUACGAAGGGGGCUAGCGUUGUUCGGAUUUACUGGGCGUAAAGCGCACGUAGGCGGACUAUUAAGUCAGGGGUGAAAUCCCGGGGCUCAACCCCGGAACUGCCUUUGAUACUGGUAGUCUUGAGUUCGAGAGAGGUGAGUGGAAUUCCGAGUGUAGAGGUGAAAUUCGUAGAUAUUCGGAGGAACACCAGUGGCGAAGGCGGCUCACUGGCUCGAUACUGACGCUGAGGUGCGAAAGCGUGGGGAGCAAACAGGAUUAGAAACCGAGUAGUCCCAUGAU